UGGAAGUUUGAUCCUGGCUCAGAUUGAACGCUGGCGGCAUGCCUUACACAUGCAAGUCGAACGGCAGCACGGGGGCAACCCUGGUGGCGAGUGGCGAACGGGUGAGUAAUACAUCGGAACGUGUCCUGUAGUGGGGGAUAGCCCGGCGAAAGCCGGAUUAAUACCGCAUACGCUCUACGGAGGAAAGGGGGGGAUCUUAGGACCUCUCGCUACAGGGGCGGCCGAUGGCAGAUUAGCUAGUUGGUGGGGUAAAGGCCUACCAAGGCGACGAUCUGUAGCUGGUCUGAGAGGACGACCAGCCACACUGGGACUGAGACACGGCCCAGACUCCUACGGGAGGCAGCAGUGGGGAAUUUUGGACAAUGGGGGCAACCCUGAUCCAGCAAUGCCGCGUGUGUGAAGAAGGCCUUCGGGUUGUAAAGCACUUUUGUCCGGAAAGAAAUCCUCUUCGAUAAUACCGAGGGGGGAUGACGGUACCGGAAGAAUAAGCACCG
rnacentral:rRNA from 1 species